rnacentral:lncRNA from 1 species
UAUCAAUCAAACUGCUAAUUUCUUAUAUUGCACGUGUAGCAAUGAAAGGACAGGUAGGGUCUUUCUAAGGUUUGUUGUCAUGCUCUUAUUCAUAAUGUAGAAAGAGGUUUUUCUCAAUUAUAUCGGCUGCAAAAUGUGGAGGUGUUUGAUACAUCUCUGAGAAAAUUGAAAAUACAGGGCUAGAGUAAAAGUAUGAGAAGUAUCUGUCAAGCAGAGCUCCAGGCACUUAUUUUAUUUUGUUGACAGAACCAAAGGCCGCAUUUAUACUAUCCAGAAAAACAGAAAAGGUGUUUGAAGAGAACUGUGACAGUGUAGCCACAUGACCUUGAAGAAGCUUUGGCAGCAUCUCUCAGGCAUAUCAACCCCUAGGUAGGAAUCCUGUACUUUGAAGAUGGAACAUUUAUUUUUUUUUGUUGAUUAAAAGACUUACUAGUCAAUCUCCAGUGCCAGCUCUGCACACACUGCCGGGAAUUCUUCUGAGCUUAAUUCUUCAAUUGCAGAUUUUAUGAAAAUCCUUUAGAGGCAGGUGGCAGCAGAAAGUUGC